rnacentral:rRNA from 1 species
CAGUCGCCGCGGUAAUACGAAGGGGGCUAGCGUUGCUCGGAAUGACUGGGCGUAAAGGGCGCGUAGGCGGUUUGUACAGUCAGAUGUGAAAUUCCUGGGCUUAACCUGGGGGCUGCAUUUGAUACGUGCAGGCUUGAGUGUGGAAGAGGGUUGUGGAAUUCCCAGUGUAGAGGUGAAAUUCGUAGAUAUUGGGAAGAACACCGGUGGCGAAGGCGGCAACCUGGUCCAUUACUGACGCUGAGGCGCGAAAGCGUGGGGAGCAAACAGGAUUAGAUACCCCCGUAGUCCCUGUCUCUUAUAC